AUUGAACGCUGGCGGCAGGCCUAACACAUGCAAGUCGAGCGGUAGAGCGAAGCUUGCUUCUCUUGAGAGCGGCGGACGGGUGAGUAAUGCCUAGGAAUCUGCCUGGUAGUGGGGGAUAACGCUCGGAAACGGACGCUAAUACCGCAUGCGUCCUACGGGAGAAAGCAGGGGACCUUCGGGCCUUGCGCUAUCAGAUGAGCCUAGGUCGGAUUAGCUAGUUGGUGAGGUAAUGGCUCACCAAGGCGACGAUCCGUAACUGGUCUGAGAGGAUGAUCAGUCACAGUGGAACUGAGACACGGUCCAGACUCCUACGGGAGGCAGCAGUGGGGAAUAUUGGACAAUGGGCGAAAGCCUGAUCCAGCCAUGCCGCGUGUGUGAAGAAGGUCUUCGGAUUGUAAAGCACUUUAAGUGGGGAGGAAGGGCAUUAACCUAAUACGUUGGUGUCUUGACGUUACCGACAGAAUAAGCACCGGCUAACUCUGUG
rnacentral:rRNA from 1 species